UACGGAGGGUGCAAGCGUUAUCCGGAUUUAUUGGGUUUAAAGGGUCCGUAGGCGGACCCGUAAGUCAGUGGUGAAAUCUCGCAGCUUAACUGUGAAACUGCCAUUGAUACUGCGGGUCUUGAGUGAAUUUGAAGUGGCUGGAAUAAGUAGUGUAGCGGUGAAAUGCAUAGAUAUUACUUAGAACACCGAUUGCGAAGGCAGGUCACUAAGAUUCAACUGACGCUGAGGGACGAAAGCGUGGGGAGCGAACAGGAUUAGAUACCCUGGUAGUCCACGCCGUAAACGAUGCUAACUCGUUUUCGGGGCGCAAGCCUCGGAGACCAAGCGAAAGUGAUAAGUUAGCCACCUGGGGAGUACGUCCGCAAGGAUGAAACUCAAAG
rnacentral:rRNA from 1 species